GAGGACUUAGCUUAAUUAAAGUAAUUGGUUUGCGUUCAGUUGAUGUAAGAUAUAAUCUUGCAGUCCUUA
rnacentral:tRNA from 1 species